rnacentral:rRNA from 1 species
CCGCGGUAAUGGGCGAAAGCCUGACCGAGCAACGCCGCGUGAGCGAUGAAGGCCUUCGGGUCGUAAAGCUCUGUUGUUAAGGAAGAACAAGUACGAGAGUAACUGCUCGUACCUUGACGGUACUUAACGAGAAAGCCACGGCUAACUACGUG